CUUAACGGUAAAAUGGCCCCCGAUACUGGGCGUCUUGAGCACGACAGAGGUUGGUGGGAUUCGUAGUGUAGCGGUGAAAUGCAUAGAUAUUACGAAGAACACCGGUGGCGAAAGCGGCCAACUGGGUCGGAGCUGACGCUGAGGCACGAGAGCGUGGGGAGCGAACAGGAUUAGAUACCCUGGUAGUCCACGCUGUAAACGAUGUAUGCUAGUUGUUGGCCCUGGUUCGACCGGGGUCAGUGACGCAGUUAACGCAGUAAGCAUACCACCUGGGGAGUACGUUCGCAAGAAUGAAACUCAAAGGAAUUGACGGGGGCCCGCACAAGCGGUGGAGCAUGUGGCUUAAUUCGAUGCAACGCGAAGAACCUUACCCGGGCUAAAUCUGGCCCGACCGCCCCCGAAACGGGGCUUCCCUUCGGGGCGUGCC
rnacentral:rRNA from 1 species